CGCGUAGGAAUCUGCCUAUUAGUGGGGGACAACAUGUGGAAACGCAUGCUAAUACCGCAUACGCCCUACGGGGGAAAGCGGGGGCUCUUCGGACCUCGCGCUAAUAGAUGAGCCUAUGUCAGAUUAGCUAGUUGGUAGGGUAAAAGCCUACCAAGGCAACGAUCUGUAGCUGGUCUGAGAGGAUGAUCAGCCACACUGGGACUGAGACACGGCCCAGACUCCUACGGGAGGCAGCAGUGGGGAAUAUUGGACAAUGGGCGCAAGCCUGAUCCAGCAAUACCGCGUGUGUGAAGAAGGCCUGAGGGUUGUAAAGCACUUUCAAUAGGGAGGAACACCUGUUUAUCUAAUAUCGGACAGACUGACAUUACCUAUAGAAGAAGCACCGGCUAACUCCGUGCCCAGCAGCCGCGG
rnacentral:rRNA from 1 species